GUCCGGUUUGCAGCCCCUCUGCCUGCGUCUAUGUGACCAAGCAUGAAAGAAGACUGAAAUGAAAUCACAACAAUUGGAAAAAUUUCCUGGGAUGUCAUUCAAAUUUAAAAAUAAGAGGGCAUGUCCAUUAUAGAUCUUGUGGCCUGAAAACAGAAGACUUAUUUUGUGGGAAAGCAGAGAAUCUGAGAAUAUUAUUUGACAGAAAGAGUGCUAUGAAGAUUUCCAACAUACAGUACCAAUAUAAAUUAAAUUAAAAUAAUAUUUUUAUUUUGCUUUAUUUUAUUGUUGUAUUUUUAUGGUAUCCAGUCAGUAUGUAAAUGACAGUCCUACUUGUAAAUAAGUAGUCUAGGAGUGUGACUGUAUUAUAAGGUACUGUUUGGGUGAUUUUCAAUGAUUUUGACAAGUCCACCAUAACUUAUAAUAAAUACGGUUGAAUUCUAAUGGUAAUGUCAGUCUUGCAGACAGCUGAAAACUGCUAUUUCUCCUUAUCUCCAUACUCCAAUGGGCCUGAAGCAGGCAGUCGGCAGUCCUCAUGCACGCUUCACUCUGAGUGACAGCCUGCCAUGUACCGCGAUAAAAACAGCACAGCCAAUACCUCACAACCUGACAGUGUCAACGACUAGCCACUGACCCCAGCUGACCCAGAAGAAAUUGAUUCUGCCUCUAAAAAUCAGACAUCAGCACAAGUUUCAGAGGAAAGAGGAAUAGAGGGAGAGAAAGGAAUCAAAGUUCUCAUUCUGUUCCAAAACCAAGUGAGCUACCUUGCCAUCUGCUGCCUAUAUAGGGAGCUAAGACAGUAUCCUAGCUGAAGCGAAUCCUCAAAUAACAGAGUUGGAAUGCUCUACAUAGGCAAUAACUUUGUGGAUCAUACAAACAGCACUUUCACAGAAGAAAUGCACAGGGAAGUUUGACUUACAAUUAAUUUGAAUAGAGUUUGGUAUUAGCAUGUUGCUAAGCUAAUUAUGUGAUACCCUAAUGAGAAGGAAAUUAAACAGCACACAUGGGUAAAAACGUCAAUUUUACAUCAGACUGAACAAUUUAUAUUUAUACAGUCAAAGUUUCUCUUGAUUUGCCUGCCAUCUUGGAUGGAUUUUUCCCUCAAAGCUCAUUGUAAUGCAUUCUGUGGUAUUCUUCUGCAUAAAGGGCAAAAUGCGGCAUGCGUAAGCAGCAUUUAAUGGAGCACAUCUAAGAUGCCUUAAAAUACUCCC
ensembl:lncRNA